GGGUAUAUAGCUCAGUGGUAGAGCCCAUGCUUAGCACACAUGAGGUCCUGGGUUCAGUACCUGGUACCUCCG
rnacentral:tRNA from 1 species